rnacentral:lncRNA from 1 species
UGGAGGUCAUGUCGGUGGGCGCGACAUGAAUUAUCCACCUCUCCUACCUUAGAAGCUUCACCUAGGAUGCUUCCGCUACUCUACACACCUUUUGGAAAUUUAGUUGUUUAUAUUCCAUCAUAUGUUGUAAGUUGAGUUAUAAAUCUUCCGCACUCUGAUGUAAGUUAUUUUUGUAACAAAUGUUGUAAUGUUGUGGUAACUCCAUGUUGAUCCUGUAUGAGAUAAAAUGUGGAUGAUUCGGGGUCCUCCGAGGGCACCCGACAGACUUCUUGAGUCAUUUGGAACUCGUGCAUGCCGAUCACAAGUCUUGGAGACAAUGAUGGGUGCAUGUGGGCCACUUAAUUCAGGAGGUUCUGCCACAGAGUGGUAUCAGAGCUCAUACAUGGAUCUUCUGCAACAUUACUUGUGAAAAACUUCAAAAGGAAUUUACAAAUUAAAAGUUUUUGAGGACAACAACUUGUAAAUGCUCCUUAACUUUUCUUAUGCUUGCUAUUCAAGUUCUGUGAAGACUGUCUGCUGACUCAAAUAGAAGGCAUUGAAAGGGACUUCAAUUCUUCUUCAACAAGCCAAGUGAAGAAUCAAACUACUCCAACAAUGCUUUGUCAAGAGUCUUGCAACAUUCCAUCCAGAGCGAUGAAGAUACUGUAUAAAUAAAGCCCUAUAAUCUACUAACAUGAUGAAGAUGGAGCACUUUCGCCGUUGAGAAAACGUAUAGGGCGAGCAUAUUGCAUACCAUGCAUAACAUGACAAUAUAAUGAUACUUAAAAACCCCUCCUUAUGCUUCAAAAACAGUUAUUAUUCAUUAUAGCUGUUUUAUUGAUGAAUCUCAUCAUGUACCAGCUUUCGUUAACCGAUUGAUAAUCUUUUACUCCAUAAGAUCCUAAUACUUGAUUCUCUUGUUAUGCAUGUGACCUUCCUUGAUUUCAUCUAACUUGACACAUGCUACCUCCUUGCUGUCAUUUGAUGACAUAUGUGUUGAUUGAAUGACACUAUGAUUGUGUCCUCUUAAGGUACCAUGACUUGUAACUUAGGUAACAAUGUCGAAACCUGGGGUCUCCUAUGGCUCGCGACCAUAAGGAAAUACUGUCGGGCGCUCGCUGUUAUCAAAGUCUAUGAUCAUGAUACCUUAUAGACCCACAACUUAGGUGACCUCACUCUUUGGACCAUAUUAUGGGAAUCCAUGCCCAUAUCUCUUUGGAAUUACCUAAAGCCCCUGACUUGGAUAACCAACAUAGGUCAUUGAAAGCUAUGGUAACCGUACUCUAUAGUAGGUACCAUGAUCCGUGAUCACGUUAUAGCGUCGAACCUUGUAGUCUCCUGUGGACUGCAGCCAUAAGGAAAUACUACAGGGUGCUCGUUAAACAUCGGGAUCUCUGGUCAUGCUCCACUAUAAUCUACUGUUAGUGUGCUUUCAUUCUCCUUGGAAGAUCAUUUGGAGAUUCAUAUCUUCGUAUGAAUUCUCUAAAAUUCCUGAUUGAUUACAACUUCUUGUUGAUCUUAGUUGUAAUUCUCGGACCAAUCGUAAUUGUUUUAUGAACUUCUCAGAAGUUAAUGUGCUUGACACAUUUCCUUUUCCAUUACUUACCCUAAGGUUUUAAAUCUCGGGGACGAGAUUUCUUUAAGGGGGAAGGGCUGUAACAUCCCUGAUGUUACGAACACUAAAACUGGAUCAUGUCAUCAUGAGCAUUGCAAAGCAUAUUUGUUAAGCACAUUAGUAUGCAUCAACUUAAAACAAGUUUACUUUGAUUACUUGAGCUUAGGGAAGUAGAGUGUGCUUAUGUGGUAUGUUGGUGCUUGUGUGGUUGCUAAAAACCCUAAGGUGGAAAUUUUCCGAAAAGCUAAGGGGGGAAACCCUGAUUUCUGGAUCCUAGAUUUGUCCCCUUUUGCAUAAGUCAAAAACUAAGCAAAAUUUGAGGUUGAGUUCAAAAGCAAAGUUGUAGCUCUUGGCAAGAUGUACAACUUUGGUGUUUUGAGUUUUUGAAGUUUCAAUACAAAAUUCAAAGUAAUUUUGAAAAUACAGAUUUCCGGAAAGUGUCCCCUUUUCUAAUUUGAAUCUCCAAUUCAAAAUCUAUUUGGACUUUUAAAAAAUGGUCAACAUGAAAGUUGUAGGGCUCAAAAAGUUGAACAACUUUCAUGUUGGGAGUUUUUCAAGUUGUGGAGAAAAAUCAAAAGUAAUUUUAGAAUUUCUAAUCUGCCCCAUUUCAAAAUUGGAAUUUCCCCAAUUUGAGAUUUGAAAUUCAAACUGUUUUGAUUAAAUUCAUCACCUUCCUUUCGAAAUCUGAAUUUGAGUCUUAAAUGAAUGUUGUAGGCAAUUUUGUGCUGCACAUUUCUUGCUUUGGUAGAUUUUUGAGUUUUUAUACAAAAUAAAAAGUAAUUUUAGAAAUAGAAAAGGGGAGGAUAAGAAUGCUACAAUACAUCACCAAUGGGAGCAGGGCACGGCGACCCUGCUCGGUGGCGUUGCUUCCCCACGUCACCUCGAGCAUGGCUGACACGCAGCUGCCUGCUUGGUUGAAGUCACCGUGAUAUGGACGAGUUGAAGGCAUCCUCCACCAUCUCCAAUUCCCUGACCGGCUUUCUUUCUCUCCGGAGCCGGCAGAAACGCCGCUGCCACCCGCCACCGUGGUCAGCCCUCAUCUGUGCUUCUCCACCACUUCUGAGCAGCUUGACGAAGUCGUGCUGAGUCCCCGAUGCUCCCCAACUCUUCUCCUCGCCUUCCCGGCAGCCGGAGCGCCACGUUUUCCCCUAAGCCCCGUCCAGAGUUCCGCCGGUGUCGCUGUUCACGUGGCCAUGCCUCCACAGACCACCUGUGGCCAAGUAGAGGGAACCAGAGGGUGUGCGUGAGUCUAGGUGAACUCCCCCGCUGCUCCACUGCCGCCGACGAGCACUCCAACGCCGAAGCUGCGAUCUCCGACGAGCUGCUCUGUUUCCAGUUCGCGACCAGGGACUUCGCGCGACAAUUUGAAGUUCUCCAGGGGUCUAAUUGCAUAGACCGUGACUCAGGUGAAUAGUGCUAUAAGGACUUGUUUGUAGAUGUUUUGUUGAAUCUUUGAAAAUUCAUAUCUAGAGUUUGGUAGCUCCAAUUUUGGUGAACCAAAUUUUGUUGUGCUCCUUGAAAUGUCUAGUUUUUAUUAAAAAUAUGAAACUGACCAUGUUUUGUAGUAAAAUAAUUGGUUAUGAUUUAUGUCUUUUAAUUAUGCUUAAAAGGAAGAAAUUCAUAUCUAUUGCUGUAUAGCUUCUUUUAAGAUGCAACUUUUAUGGUAGACUAAUGAUCAUGUGUAUGUGCUGUGGUUCAGUUUUUAGAUUCAUUGGAUGACAUAUGAUUAAGUUAUUAAUUUAUCUUGUAUAGUGCUUAUUAAAUAGUUUACAAUUAAACUAAAAAUGAAUAAAUAUAAAAUACAGUUCCUCUGCAUUUAUAUGAGGUUGUUAUAACAUAUAGAUACAUAAUUUAGCUAUGUGUUUGUAUAAAUUGUUGAGUUUCUUAUUUAUCUUGCCGUUACAUGCUUCCUUGUGAUGGAAAUUUAUCUUUUUCAUGGAAAUUGCUAUACUUAUCCAAAUGGCAUGAAAUUUAUACAGUAGACUUUGGAGAACAUAUAUGAGCUGCUGUAGUUUUCUCAGAAUUUACUGUGUACUUUUGAUAUAUGGUUAUUAUUUUGUCUAUUUAUCUAAAUAAAUAAAUAAAGACAUGAAAGGUAUUUAUUUAGGGAUGGCCAUGAUGUUUUCUAGUAUCCCUUUGAUGUAUUUCAACUGUUGGUGAGCUGGGUUUUGCCCAGGUUCAAGUUUGGAACAUAAAUGAAAUAUGAUUUCUCUAUAAUUCAAAUGUUAGUGGUUUCUCGACAAUUUCUAGAGCAUUAUGAAUUGCUCUAGGUAAAUAAUGUUGGAUAUGAAACUUGUCUAUAACAAAGUUGUAUAGAAUUCAUGUAUCUAGCUGGUGUUAAAUUUUGGUGGCAUUUGGCUCUAUAGUUUCUGAGUUAUGCCUGUUUAAAUUUAAGUUUCAGAAAUGGUUUCUUUCUGUCAAAUCCUGGAUCAGUUUCUGUAGUUGUGCAAUUUCGACCUACUAAACUUAUGAAUCCUGCUUUCAUGAUAAAAGAUGAAUUGUAUUAAUUUUCAUAAGGUUUCCAAAAUGUUAUGGAUCAUGAAUUUUGGUGAUCUAGAACUCUGGUUAUAGAUCUAUGAAGCUUAAGGUCUGAUUCUGUCUAAGGUCUGGACAGAAUUGUUUAUUCAUACUGUUUGGCCAUUUUAUCUAUUAAAUCAGUUCUCGAAGAUAAUAACAAAGUUGUAGAAAAUUAUCUAAGCUUCCCAGAAAGUCUAAUAUCACCUUUAUUGGAUGCUUGGAUCUCUAAUUAUGGUUGAAUGAAGUUGCAUAUAUGCUGCUGUCCUGGUUAUGUGUGCAAAUAGAGUUGAUUGUUUUUAGCUAGCCUUUACUUAAAUAAUGAUUAGCUUAAUUUCCAAAUUAGAAUUUGAGUGCUUUUGGGAUUGUGUGAUGACCUGAGGUCAUUAAGGUUAAUGACCUUUGGCAUUUAAUUAUUGUUUGAUGUUAUACUUAAUUACUGCCAUUAAUAUUUAAUUAAGAAUUGAUUAAGAUAAAUAGAAAGCCUAAUCAUUUUAGAUUUUGAUUGAUCUUUGGGAUUGAUUGACAACUAGUGGUUACUUGGCAUGAGAUCUUUACAACCUUGCUUAAUGAAGAUGAUAAAAUUUGUUUAGUAGUAAUCUAUGCUUUGAUAGCUAGAUUAGUUUGUUUCUAUACCAUGAAGGUAAGUUGCACUCGAGGUAGUUAUGUUUGUUGUUAUCAUCCAAGAACAUGUAACAUGUCUUUAUCAUGUCAUGAGCAUUCAUCAUUUUGCGUAUAGUGUCCGUGACCGAAGGAGCGCCCGUUGAACCGAACCCCGAGGUCGGUGCUCCGUUCGAGGAAGUCGGAUCCGAGACUUGGGAAGUCUCUGAGGGUCCCUCUCUGCCCUGCAACCAAGGCAAGCCCCGGAUGCAUUAACCCCUCCUUGGAUGUUUUAAAUCUUUUGUCACUUAUGAAUUGAAAAUGCUGCAUUAGAUAGUUGAGAAUUGGGUUCACCUACUUGCUGCAUUUACUACCUUGAUAUCUAUAUCCUGUCCUUGACACCUGUUUUAUUGUAAAACUGCGUAGCGAUGCUUAGCCCUGCUACUAGAUAGGUUUUCAAAUAAGAAAGUUUGAAGGGUUGUUGUGGGGUACACUUACGAUCAAUGAUGUUUCAAUUUGAGACCGGUCGGUGGACGUGCUCUAAGAAUGGAGUCUUAAAGUAGUGUCUCCGACUGUGUCGAUUAAGGACCGUUCCGUUGAUGGCCUGCUGGGUUGAGAAUUUAUAGUACUAACCGCCUGCCCUCGGUAAGCCCAGUCUUGUGAUCCCUCGACGCGAACAGCUACUCGCGCACUGGGAGUGGAAAGAUGGCGAGAGUAGUGUGUACCCACCUUACGGAUCUGAGAUGACCGGAAAACAUCUAGAUCGGCUGUAGGAUGGUGGAGUACUGUGCUCUCGGGUGCCGCGAACCUGGUCAGAUUUGGGGAGAGCUUGAUUUGGGUUGACAUAUGCAAGAUUUGGUUCUACAUAUGUCGGGUGGUUAGGAACUCCAGCUGGAUUGCUAAGCGAUUCGAAUCGUCGUUGCUCCCCGAUUGGGAGACUCAAUUCCUUCGACCCUCAUCGUAGUUAAAUAUGCAACUAAGUGAUAAAAUGAGAAAGGGGGAAAAUGUCUUAUGAGGUUCGGAUCCCAAUUCCCGGACUCAUAGCGACAUGAAGCUAUGGCCAUCGAUAAAUAAUACUUUAUGAUAGGACUAGGAACUCACGGAUUCGUCUGUGGGGAACAACCAGUUAGACUAUCCUCGAACUCCUCGGCCUCUGCGAGGGAGGAAUUCGUGGGUAAAACUUGAAAAUAAGGAUGCACUAUUAGUAAGCUUUUUACGCAAAACACUUUGGCUCCUUGCUCAGCCACCCCUUGUCUACCCUAAGCCUGCAUCCCUAAGUUCUCCUCUUUUCUCAUCGGGUAAGUCUUGUUGAGUACUUUUGUACUCAGGGUUUUAUAACCCCUGUUGCAGGUGCUGACUUAGUCUGCUAAUGGAGGUCAUGUCGGUGGGCGCGACAUGAAUUAUCCACCUCUCCUACCUUAGAAGCUUCACCUAGGAUGCUUCCGCUACUCUACACACCUUUUGGAAAUUUAGUUGUUUAUAUUCCAUCAUAUGUUGUAAGUUGAGUUAUAAAUCUUCCGCACUCUGAUGUAAGUUAUUUUUGUAACAAAUGUUGUAAUGUUGUGGUAACUCCAUGUUGAUCCUGUAUGAGAUAAAAUGUGGAUGAUUCGGGGUCCUCCGAGGGCACCCGACAGACUUCUUGAGUCAUUUGGAACUCGUGCAUGCCGAUCACAAGUCUUGGAGACAAUGAUGGGUGCAUGU